rnacentral:rRNA from 1 species
AGCCCUUGAGAGUGGCGAACGGGUGAGUAUAUAUCGGAACGUGCCCAGUCGUGGGGGAUAACGUAGCGAAAGUUACGCUAAUACCGCAUACGAUCUAAGGAUGAAAGCGGGGGAUCGCAAGACCUCGCGCGAUUGGAGCGGCCGAUAUCAGAUUAGGUAGUUGGUGAGGUAAAGGCUCACCAAGCCAACGAUCUGUAGCUGGUCUGAGAGGACGACCAGCCACACUGGAACUGAGACACGGUCCAGACUCCUACGGGAGGCAGCAGUGGGGAAUUUUGGACAAUGGACGCAAGUCUGAUCCAGCCAUUCCGCGUGCAGGAUGAAGGCCCUCGGGUUGUAAACUGCUUUUGUACGGAACGAAAAGGUUUGUCUUAAUACGAUGAGCUCAUGACGGUACCGUAAGAAUAAGCACCGGCUAACUACGUG